UAGUUUGGUGGUUUUGGGAAAACAGUUGU
rnacentral:piRNA from 1 species